AUGGCUUUCUUCAUCAAGCACGUGAGAUGGGUGGUCUUGCGUCUCAAUGCUCUCCUGGUGACUAAUGCCAUCUUGAUGGCAGUCAUAGCCGGGUUAGGCACCUAUGGGCAUCACUAUCGCCACCAUCCUUUGAUCCGCUUCCUCUACCUAGGAGCCAUCACCUUGUUCCUGCCCAUUGUAUCUGAUGUCGUCUCCACCAUCCAAAAUCCUUACACCAUCACUGUUUACCCAAAACACGACCGAGUCAUAUUAUCAAACUGUGAAGCAGACGGCCAUGUCUUCCUGGUCAUAUUGUGGAUCGGUCUUGUUCAGAUCGUUGGUGCCAACACCAUAACAAUAGUGGCCGGCGAUUCUAGAGAAGGUCGAAGCAUUGCACCCCCUGCAGUGCAACUUGUUAAAGCAAUCUGGACUUCCUACCUGGCCUACAUGAUGAUAGAAUCAGGUCUAGAGCCAUAUGGAUAUAAUGUCAAAUGGUCUCAAGAUCGGCAGCUUUCUCUCUUAGAUAUUCUCCUUCUUGCACUACCAUAUGCUCUUAUUUUGGCCAAAUUGCUUUUCAAGUACUAUGCAUGGUACAAGGCCUCGCGAUCAUUAGCGUUUGGACGCAAUCCGCGCCUCAUUGUUGGAUACAUGGAGAAGCUACAAGUAGGAACCCAUUAUGCUGAGUUAACAAUAAGUGAGCAUGAUGUACCUCCUCCACUCAUAGUUAUGGGAGAGGACACUGUAUUGGUAGAGAAGCAACCUCAUGGUUACAACCUGGCAGGGAUGAACAUCAACAAUGGCUUAUUGACCAUCGACACAGUUUGGCAGUUGGAUGACACAUUAUUGCUUUGGAGAUCAAAAGAUUUGUGCCUUGCAUUCGCAUUGUUCAAGAUGCUACGGUGUCGGUUUGCAAGGUACACAAUUAAUGAGGCUGGCUUUGCGAAAGCCAGUAACUUUAUACGGCAUGUGUUGCUCGAGGAUAGUGAUGAUGAAAGGGUUCUUGGCUUGAUUACAAAUGAGCUUUCGUUUCUUCAUGAUUACUAUUUUUCAUAUCUCCCAGUCACUUAUUCAGAGAGUUGGCUACCCUUCUUGAGUGUAUCUAUUUCACUCUCAAGCAUCGGCUACUGCUUAUUUGUCAUCACCUUUUUGGUAACAACUUUCCGAGGUUACAGUGCUCUAGAUUAUGAGCAGAUUUAUUGUCAUCCGGUACAUUGCCAUCCUGUAUCCGAUUCUACAUAUACGUUUACGAGUGAUAGUAAAGCAGAGGUGAGUUUUGGAAGAUUGUUGUUUGAUGUUUUGCCAGUGUGUCUACUUGGGACACUAGGUGUGCUUGUUGAAGCGAGGGAGAUUGCUUCUUACAUCUGCUCCAACUGGACUAAAGUAGCCCUGAUUUGUGGCUAUGUAAAGCAUACUUCUUGGCAGCAAUCUCCGAUGAUCCGUAAAUGCAUUGGCCAUGUUCUGCACACCAGGUGCAAGCUCUUGGAUAGAUGGGAGGACAAGAUGUACCAGUGCUCAAUCCUAGUGCUCCACCCAAGUAGAAAUCCAAUUACUCUUCUUCGACGUAUCCUUCAUCUGCCGGACCAGAAGAUGAAGGUGCCAACAGCAGUGAAGGCGGCCGUUCUCGAUGUGGUGAGAAUGAACCAAAGAAAUAAGCUCGGAAACAACGGCGCAACACCUCGGCGGCUGCAAGUCGGCAGCGACCUCCUCUGGACAUUCCAUGAAGCCAAGGGCGCAGCCGAUGCCAUGCUCGUGUGUCACGUUGCCACAAGCAUCCUUGAAAUGACAAGAUCACGAGAACAACUUCCCUCCGACCAUGAGAUCGUCGCCACUCACCUCUCGCGGUAUUGCGCCUAUUUGGUGGCAUGUUGUCCCAAGCUCCUUCCCGACGACCACGUGUGGUGCAGGAGCUUGUAUAAGGCUGUCAAGAAGGAUGCUGGGCGCGUCCUCGCCGGCCACGACAUUACGGUGUCGUCGUCGGAAGCGGAGCACCGGCGGCUGGUGGAGCUGCUGAGGGCACGGUCCAAGCACCAGGUCCUCAAGGAUGGUGCGGAGCUCGGGCAACGGCUGGCUGAGCUGCCUAAAGGAGAGGAGGUGGCGUGGAAGGCCCUCGCCGGCUUCUGGACGGAGAUGAUCGUCAGCGUCGCCGCUACUUGUGACAACAUCGACGAGCACGCGGAGGCCGUCGCCCGGGGCGGGGAGCUGGUAACGCUACUCUGGGCGUUGCUCGCCCAUGUCGGGAGCGUCGACGACGACACCGCCACAGCUGCCGCUGCCACUCAUGGUGCUCCCGAUGCUGUUUAA
rnacentral:rRNA from 1 species